GACGAACGCUGGCGGCGUGCUUAACACAUGCAAGUCGAACGGAAAGGCCCUGCUUUUGUGGGGUGCUCGAGUGGCGAACGGGUGAGUAAAACGUGAGUAACCUGCCCUUGACUUUGGGAUAACUUCAGGAAACUGGGGCUAAUACCGGAUAGGAGCUCCUGCUGCAUGGUGGGGGUUGGAAAGUUUCGGCGGUGGGGGAUGGACUCGCGGCUUAUCAGCUUGUUGGUGGGGUAGUGGCUUACCAAGGCUUUGACGGGUAGCCGGCCUGAGAGGGUGACCGGCCACAUUGGGACUGAGAGACGGCCCAGACUCCUACGGGAGGCAGCAGUGGGGAAUAUUGCACAAUGGGCGGAAGCCUGAUGCAGCAACGCCGCGUGCGGGAUGACGGCCUUCGGGUUGUAAACCGCUUUCGCCUGUGACGAAGCGUGAGUGACGGUAAUGGGUAAAGAAGCACCGGCUAACUACGUG
rnacentral:rRNA from 1 species